UACGUAGGGGGCAAGCGUUGUCCGGAUUUAUUGGGCGUAAAGAGCGUGUAGGCGGCCUGACAGGUCUGCUGUGAAAACUCGAGGCUCAACCUCGAGAUGUCGGCGGAAACCGUCUGGCUAGAGUCCGGAAGAGGAGAGUGGAAUUCCUGGUGUAGCGGUGAAAUGCGCAGAUAUCAGGAGGAACACCUGCGGUGUAGACGGCUUACUGGACGGUAACUGACGCUGAGGCACGAAAGCGUGGGUAGCAAACAGG
rnacentral:rRNA from 1 species